rnacentral:rRNA from 1 species
GGAUCUCUUGGCUCUCGCAUCGAUGAAGAACGCAGCGAAAUGCGAUAAGUAAUGUGAAUUGCAGAAUUCAGUGAAUCAUCGAAUCUUUGAACGCACCUUGCACCCUUUGGUAUUCCAAAGGGUAUGCUCGUUUGAGUGUCAUUAUACUCUCACACUCUCUGAUUAGAGAGCGGUGGACUUGGAUGUUGCCUGGUACUUGCUGUCAGGCUCAUCUUAAAUGAGUUAGUACGACUCCUAGUUAAACAUAGUACGGCGUUAUAACUAAACCCUCGCUGUUUUCUGUCUGAUUAGGAGCGCUGUGCUUCAAACCGUCUUCGGACAAUAUCUGAUAACUUGACCUCAAAUCGAGUAGGAUUACCCGCUGAACUUAAGCAUAUCAAUAAGCGGAGGAAAAGAAACU